rnacentral:rRNA from 1 species
CCUACGGGAGGCAGCAGUGAGGAAUAUUGGUCAAUGGACGAGAGUCUGAACCAGCCAAGUAGCGUGAAGGAUGACUGCCCUAUGGGUUGUAAACUUCUUUUAUAUGGGACUAAAAUGUUCCACGUGUGGGAUUUUGUAUGUACCAUAUGAAUAAGGAUCGGCUAACUCCGUGCCAGCAGCCGCGGUAAUACGGAGGAUCCGAGCGUUAUCCGGAUUUAUUGGGUUUAAAGGGAGCGUAGGUGGAUUGUUAAGUCAGUUGUGAAAGUUUGCGGCUCAACCGUAAAAUUGCAGUUGAAACUGGCAGUCUUGAGUACAGUAGAGUUGGGCGGAAUUCGUGGUGUAGCGGUGAAAUGCUUAGAUAGCACGAAGAACUCCGAUUGCGAAGGCAGUUCACUGGACUGCAACUGACACUGAGGCUCGAAAGUGUGGGUAUCAAACAGGAUUAGAUACCCCUGUAGUC